GACGAACGCUGGCGGCGUGCUUAACACAUGCAAGUCGAACGGUGAAGCGCCUUCCUUUUUGGUGGGUGUGGAUGAGUGGCGAACGGGUGAGUAACACGUGAGUAACCUGCCCCCUUCUUCUGGAUAACCGCAUGAAAGUGUGGCUAAUACGGGAUAUUCUGGGUCGGUCGCAUGAUGGGUCUGGGAAAGAUAUUGUUUCGGUGGGGGAUGGGCUCGCGGCCUAUCAGCUUGUUGGUGGGGUGAUGGCCUACCAAGGCGGUGACGGGUAGCCGGCCUGAGAGGGUGGACGGUCACACUGGGACUGAGACACGGCCCAGACUCCUACGGGAGGCAGCAGUGGGGAAUAUUGCACAAUGGGCGCAAGCCUGAUGCAGCGACGCCGCGUGAGGGAUGGAGGCCUUCGGGUUGUGAACCUCUUUCGCCAGUGAAGCAGGCCUGCCUCGUUUGUGGGUGGGUUGACGGUAGCUGGAUAAGAAGCGCCGGCUAACUACGUG
rnacentral:rRNA from 1 species